rnacentral:rRNA from 1 species
GAUGAACGCUGGCGGCGUGCCUAAUACAUGCAAGUCGAGCGAACAGACGAGGAGCUUGCUCCUCUGACGUUAGCGGCGGACGGGUGAGUAACACGUGGAUAACCUACCUAUAAGACUGGGAUAACUUCGGGAAACCGGAGCUAAUACCGGAUAAUAUAUUGAACCGCAUGGUUCAAUAGUGAAAGACGGUUUUGCUGUCACUUAUAGAUGGAUCCGCGCCGCAUUAGCUAGUUGGUAAGGUAACGGCUUACCAAGGCAACGAUGCGUAGCCGACCUGAGAGGGUGAUCGGCCACACUGGAACUGAGACACGGUCCAGACUCCUACGGGAGGCAGCAGUAGGGAAUCUUCCGAGAUGGGCGAAAGCCUGACGGAGCAACGCCGCGUGAGUGAUGAAGGUCUUCGGAUCGUAAAACUCUGUUAUUAGGGAAGAACAAAUGUGUAAGUAACUAUGCACGUCUUGACGGUACCUAAUCAGAAAGCCACGGCUAACUACG